rnacentral:lncRNA from 1 species
GGGAAGAGAGAGGGUGGGGGAGAAAAUGUUUUUUUCUAAGAUUUUCCACAGAUGCUAUAGUACUAUUGACAAACUGGGUUAGAGAAGGAGUGUACCGCUGUGCUGUUGGCACGAACACCUUCAGGGACUGGAGCUGCUUUUAUCCUUGGAAGAGUAUUCCCAGUUGAAGCUGAAAAGUACAGCACAGUGCAGCUUUGGUUCAUAUUCAGUCAUCUCAGGAGAACUUCAGAAGAGCUUGAGUAGGCCAAAUGUUGAAGUUAAGUUUUCCAAUAAUGUGACUUCUUAAAAGUUUUAUUAAAGGGGAGGGGCAAAUAUUGGCAAUUAGUUGGCAGUGGCCUGUUACGGUUGGGAUUGGUGGGGUGGGUUUAGGUAAUUGUUUAGUUUAUGAUUGCAGAUAAACUCAUGCCAGAGAACUUAAAGUCUUAGAAUGGAAAAAGUAAAGAAAUAUCAACUUCCAAGUUGGCAAGUAACUCCCAAUGAUUUAGUUUUUUUCCCCCCAGUUUGAAUUGGGAAGCUGGGGGAAGUUAAAUAUGAGCCACUGGGUGUACCAGUGCAUUAAUUUGGGCAAGGAAAGUGUCAUAAUUUGAUACUGUAUCUGUUUUCCUUCAAAGUAUAGAGCUUUUGGGGAAGGAAAGUAUUGAACUGGGGGUUGGUCUGGCCUACUGGGCUGACAUUAACUACAAUUAUGGGAAAUGCAAAAGUUGUUUGGAUAUGGUAGUGUGUGGUUCUCUUUUGGAAUUUUUUUCAGGUGAUUUAAUAAUAAUUUAAAACUACUAUAGAAACUGCAGAGCAAAGGAAGUGGCUUAAUGAUCCUGAAGGGAUUUCUUCUGAUGGUAGCUUUUGUAUUAUCAAGUAUCUCUUCGUUAUCAGAAGAGUUGCUUCAUUUCAUCUGGGAGCAGAAAACAGCAGGCAGCUGUUAACAGAUAAGUUUAACUUGCAUCUGCAGUAUUGCAUGUUAGGGAUAAGUGCUUAUUUUUAAGAGCUGUGGAGUUCUUAAAUAUCAACCAUGGCACUUUCUCCUGACCCCUUCCCUAGGGGAUUUCAGGAUUGAGAAAUUUUUCCAUCGAGCCUUUUUAAAAUUGUAGGACUUGUUCCUGUGGGCUUCAGUGAUGGGAUAGUACACUUCACUCAGAGGCAUUUGCAUCUUUAAAUAAUUUCUUAAAAGCCUCUAAAGUGAUCAGUGCCUUGAUGCCAACUAAGGAAAUUUGUUUAGCAUUGAAUCUCUGAAGGCUCUAUGAAAGGAAUAGCAUGAUGUGCUGUUAGAAUCAGAUGUUACUGCUAAAAUUUACAUGUUGUGAUGUAAAUUGUGUAGAAAACCAUUAAAUCAUUCAAAAUAAUAAACUAUU